rnacentral:lncRNA from 1 species
UUAACCCAAUAAAUUUCAUUCACUCCGCAUACUCAAUCCUAUAGACACCUUUUUAAUCCUUCAAUCACAGACGUAACUCGAUUUCACAAAACAGUCAAGAGUAAUCAAACCCACUUCAUUAAAAAAAAUCCGGAUUCACCAUUACAACACUGACUUCAGCAACGAUUGCCUCAGUCUUCCCAAAACUCUAUGAAGAAGAAAAAUCCAAUUCUCCGUCUUUUC